rnacentral:misc_RNA from 1 species
GAUGAAGAACGCAGCGAAAUGCGAUACGUAAUGUGAAUUGCAGAAUUCAGUGAAUCAUCGAAUCUUUGAACGCAUAUUGCGCUCUCUGGUAUUCCGGAGAGCAUGCUUGUUUGAGUAUCAGUAAACACCUCAACUCCCCUUUCUUUUUUUGAAAUGGGAGCUGGACUUGAGUGAUCCCAACGCUUUUCUCACCGAAAAGUGGCGGGUUACUUGAAAUGCAGGUGCAGCUGGACUUUUCUCUGAGUUAAAAGCAUAUCUAUUUAGUCUGCCUAAAAAACAGAUUAUUACCUUUGCUGCAGCUAACAUAAAGGAGAUUAGUUCUUGUGCUGACUGAUGCAGGAUUCACAGAGACAGCUUCGGCUGGCCUUUGUAAACUCGAUCUCAAAUCAAGUAAGACUACCCGCUGAACUUAAGCAUAUCAAUAAGCGGAGGA